UACGGAGGGUGCAAGCGUUAUCCGGAUUCACUGGGUUUAAAGGGUGCGUAGGUGGGCAAGUAAGUCAGUGGUGAAAUCUCCGGGCUCAACCCGGAAACUGCCAUUGAUACUAUCAGUCUUGAAUCUUGUUGAGGUAGGCGGAAUAUAUCAUGUAGCGGUGAAAUGCUUAGAUAUGAUAUAGAACACCGAUUGCGAAGGCAGCUUACUAAACAAGCAUUGACGCUGAGGCACGAAAGCGUGGGGAUCAAACAGG
rnacentral:rRNA from 1 species